CAUAUAGCUCAGUCGGUAGAGCACUUCCUUGGUAAGGAAGAGGUCACCGGUUCGAAUCCGGUUAUG
rnacentral:tRNA from 2 species